UAGGGAAUCUUCCACAAUGGGCGGCAAGCCUGAUGGAGCAACACCGCGUGAGUGAAGAAGGGUUUCGGCUCGUAAAGCUCUGUUGUUAAAGAAGAACAUAUCUGAGAGUAACUGUUCAGGUAUUGACGGUAUUUAACCAGAAAGCCACGGCUAACUACGUGCUAG
rnacentral:rRNA from 1 species